CUUAACUGCUUGGCAUACUUCUACAAUAUUUUUUUUUCUUAUUACAUUUGUUUUGUGCCUGCUCUUUGAUGCCUUUCACUGUGACAAAGAUUUCAAAUUCAGUACAUAUUAAUCUGUCUGGUCUCAUUUUCCUGAUAAGAACAUUCUCUAAUUUCAAGCUUGUAGCUCAUUGUCAUGGUGGCCUUUGAAACAUUUUCUAAUGCUGUUUCCUAUUGUUUCUGACUCCUAAGUGCAGACAUUUUCUCCACUUUUGAUGGCAUGCCAAUACUGGUCUGUUCAGUGCACUGAUUACAGCAAAUUCAUUUUCUCUGUCAUACUGAAGAGCAGACAUGCCAAUGAGUUUGGUUUCAUGAUGCCACUGGGUUCUCCCUAUCACAGUUUCUCUGACCUUUCCUCCCAGAAAGUUGGGGAGUGGAGUGGAAUGGAGUGGGAAUCUUGAACCUGAAAUAUUGUUUUUUUGUUUAGGUACAAAAUAGCAGGCAAAGAACCACUAGGGAGGCUACUCAUCCUGGAUUAAAAAUCUUUUUUAAAUGGUCUUUCCAUAUUGUCCAUUGGCAUAGCUGUGGGGCAAGUGAAAUAACUCUGUGUACUCUUGUUAAUAAAGAACACUAAAAAUUCAUAUUGCUCUUCCAGUUUGAGACUUGGAAGUGUCUUCCUUGCUUUUUAAUCCUUUAACACUUUCUAGCCAUUCAUAUGACUUUUCUAUAUGAAAACAACCUAUACAUAUUCUCCAAAGCUCUGGUUUUCUUUGAAGUCUUGAAUAUCAUCUUGCAUAUUUUUAUUACCCCUAUGCCUUACACAAGAGACAACUAGAACUACCUUGUGUCACUUUGCAUAAAUCAAUCUGUUGGGACCAGAUUACAGCUUAGCUUUUAAUCAUGAUUAUUAAUAGAUGAGCAAACUGGCACUCAAGAGGAACACAGAGUUAUAAGUGACCUACCCCCCUCCUUUGGGUAAAUUCAUAGUCUAGAGUCCUCAGGUAGAGAAAGCUACAAUUUGCCCGUAUCCUCUUUUGGCAAUGGGAUAAAUAGCCUUGCCAUUUUUUUGAUUCUAAAUUGAUUUCCUAUUUAGCCAUUGCUUUAUCAAUGCUUGGCUGAAUAUAAAGCCAGAAGUGAGCAACUUCCUCAGGGUGUGCUGCUUUUGAUGGGUUAGCUGUCAAACGCUCCAUUGUCCAAAUUACACUGCUACUGUAGAUUU
rnacentral:lncRNA from 1 species